CCUACGGGUGGCAGCAGUGAGGAAUAUUGGUCAAUGGACGAGAGUCUGAACCAGCCAAGUAGCGUGAAGGAUGACUGCCCGAUGGGUUGUAAACUUCUUUUAUAUGGGAAUAAAAUGUGCCACGUGUGGGAUUUUGUAUGUACCAUAUGAAUAAGGAGCGGCUAACUCCGUGCCAGCAGCCGCGGUAAUACGGAGGAUCCGAGCGUUAUCCGGAUUUAUUGGGUUUAAAGGGAGCGUAGGUGGAUUGUUAAGUCAGUUGUGAAAGUUUGCGGCUCAACCCCGGCGAGCCGUUGAAACUGGCUGUCUUGAGCUGUCGAGCGGUAUGCGGCAUGCGCGUUGUAGCGGU
rnacentral:rRNA from 1 species